rnacentral:lncRNA from 1 species
GCUCUUGGCUGGGGGGCAAGCGAGGGAAUGAAAAGGAAAAACAGGGGAAGGUUUUGGGCGGAGCUAAGGGAAGAAAAAACCAGAAAAACAGAGAAGAGGGCAGGGGACGAUGAAAAAUCUGGAGAGCUAAGCAGGGGGUUUCGGCCUUGAGAGGAAAACAAAGGGGCGGCUGAAUCUGGGUGGAGAGAAAAACGCAGAAAAGGGAAAAGAGAAGAGAAUGAAGUUAGGAUUUUUAGGCAAAGGCUUCGGGCUAAAAACAGAGGAUGAACGGCAAAAAAUGAAAAAACAGAGAAGGGGCUGCUAGCAAAAGGAAAAAGGCUGAAAGAAAAACAAAGCAAAAGAAAGAAAACAGGGGAGGAUUCGGCUAAGGAAAGGCUAAAGAACAGAGAAGGGGGCUGCGGAGAGUAAAGGGAACAGAAAACAGAGAAGAUAGCUGAGAGGAAUUUAGGAAGAGCAAGAAACGGAACUAAAAAAAAAAGAAACUGGCAGCCGAAAUCUGGAAUUUGGAGGAGGAAUUUCGGGCAGAGGCAAAGGAACUAAACGCAAAGUGAGGAAACAAAGACCAGGAGGUCCGCCGCAAUCCGAGCUCCGCCACGGCACCUCCACCUCGUGCGCCACCUUUCUUCUCCAGCGCGACCAACAAGCAGCCAACCGCUUGCCCAAGCCACCUCCAGGCCGCACUCGUCGUUGUUGCUGUAUGCUACUCUCCACCUCUGCUGCCGCCUUUCAACUCCCACUGCCGUUGCUGCCACCGUAGCCAUCAAAGCAGCAGGGGCUUCUACUGCCAUCUCCACAGAGCCGUCUACCGUCAGCGCCACCCCCCCAGAUUCAAUUCGACUUCAGAAUUUAUAGCCCUGUAAGUUAUUUUCUUCAAAUUUCAGUUUCUCUCAAACUUCUGAAAUGAGUUUGCCAUGGUGUUAUUUUGGUGCGAAUCCCCUGUUAAUUUGCCUAAACUUCUGAACACGUGAGCUUGUAUAUUGUCCGGACUAAAUUUCCUUGGGUUGCUGACAAUUUUGGGGUUGAUUAUCACCCCAAUUGAGCUAAGAAUCGAUGAUAUGCUUAAUGCCCAUUAGAUGUUUGAUGAAAUGCCCAGCUAAAAUUCUGCUUGAGUGAUGAUUAACUUGCGUUUUUGCUUUGAUGUUUUUAUUCUGCGAAGGAAGGCUAAAUGGCCACUGAUAUUCUUUUAAUCUGCAACGGCUUAAUAUGAAUGACUGGGUUGCAUUGAUCAAAGGGGGUUUGAGUUUGUUAAAAAGUUUUGUUUGCUCCGCAUCUGUUUCGUGUGGUUCCUGGGGUGAGUUACCGAAGAAAGAAAUGAAAAAAUUGCAAGAGAACUUCGAGCAGGAUGCAUGAUACUUUCUGAAUUUUUUUAUUUUAGCCCCAACUUUUGUCCAAUUGCAUUACGGCCCAGAAACAUUUGUAAUUGAACGAUUCACAUCCCUAUUGGAUGCUCAUCUCCUCUUGAUAUUUUAGGUGCAUUUCUAAACUUAUUAUUUCUGUGGUUGCGGGUAUAAUUAAACCUUAAUUUGUUUUAGUGGAUUUGUUAUCCUAUUGGGCUAAAGGUUUGCUUGGUGGGUUUUUGGCUGAUGAGUUUUAGUUUGUUUAUUUGAAUUUUUUGGUUUGGGCCAUAGGGUCAUGACCCAUCUGUGUGGUUGGCUAAUUUUGGGCCAAAAUAGUUAAGCUAGCCCAUCUGUUUUUGCUUGGGUUUUUUGGUUGGGCUAGGAAGGGUUGGCCCAAACGAACAAAUAAAAUGGUCCAUUCCCUUCUUGCUUUGAAUUUCCAUUGGGCUGGGAAACUUUGGCCCAAACAAAUAAAGGCAAUAGCCCAGUGGCUUGAUCCACUAAGAAACCAGAAAGCAAAUUUGCAAAUCAGCCCCUGAAUUUCUCCUUAGAUGUAUUGUGGCCCUGGACAUUCUCAACUUCUUUCAAUUCGGUCCUUAAAUUAAUUGUAAUUAAGUCCCUGAACUUUAUUUUUCUUUAAUUUUGACCCCAAAACUUUGUUCGUUUUUGCAAUUAAGUCCCUUCUUCUUUUGACUUCUUAAAUGUGGGUUUUGACAUGAUUCAAUUGAUUCAAUUCAUGCUUAUUUUUAUCCUUUGUGAUUAUUUGCCAAAUAAAUUGGUGCCUUGACCUUUUUAUUAUUUUGGAGGGUAAAUUAGUAAGUUCACUUCAUUGGGGCCCAAUUUCAAGGAAGGUACACUCUACCCUUUUAUUUGCACUUCAUUU